GAUGAACGCUGGCGGCGUGCCUAAUACAUGCAAGUCGAGCGAACGGACGAGAAGCUUGCUUCUCUGAUGUUAGCGGCGGACGGGUGAGUAACACGUGGAUAACCUACCUAUAAGACUGGGAUAACUUCGGGAAACCGUAGCUAAUACCGGAUAAUAUUUUGAACCGCAUGGUUCAAAAGUGAAAGACGGUCUUGCUGUCACUUAUAGCUGGAUCCGCGCUGCAUUAGCUAGUUGGUAAGGUAACGGCUUACCAAGGCAACGAUGCAUAGCCGACCUGAGAGGGUGAUAGGCCACACUGGAACUGAGACACGGUCCAGACUCCUACGGGAGGCAGCAGUAGGGAAUCUUCCGCAAUGGGCGAAAGCAUGACGGAGCAACGCCGCGUGAGUGAUGAAGGUCUUCGGAUCGUAAAACUCUGUUAUUAGGGAAGAACAGAUGUGUAAGUAACUGUGCACAUCUUGACGGUACCUAAUCAGAAAGCCACGGCUAACUACGUG
rnacentral:rRNA from 1 species